CUCCGCCUAUCGUGAGAGCGUUUCGAUCCCCCCUCGCGUUCAGUUAUUGACCCGUUGAGCUCUCGACGGCACUAGACGUUCUGCGCGCGCACCCUCUCACAGACCGGGCUAGCUUAGUCUAGCCUAGUCUAACAAGAUGCCUGCACCCUGCGACUCUUGUAAAGACACGUGCGGUGGCGGGGCAGCCGCUUGCGGUGCUAAUUGCACCUGCGGCCCCAACUGUGCGUGCGGCGAUGGCAAACCCUCUGGUGGCAAGCCAUGCUGCCAGGGAGGCGGCAAAAAGUAAAAUGCCAACUUCAAUUCUAAACUACCCUUUCCAAAAUGAUGCUCUAUUUUAAAAUGAUAUAAUCCUUAUUAUAUAAUAUCGUAGAUUUAUUAGCCGUAUAUCUCAUAAUAAAAAAAAAUAAUGUAGUUCUCUUUAAAUUAUGAUUAUUAUCGAGGAAAAAUGUUGUGUCGUCAUGAAAUGAAGUAGUAUAUAAGAUGUUAGAAUUAAAAUGAUAUUAUAUAGCUUAACUAGGUUAGAUUACAUUCGUCUCUGCUUGUAAAAUUAAGUGUAGUUUAUAUGAUUGUCACAUUCAGUGUUUAGCUUCGUGUUUAAAGGGUUUAUCCUUAGUACUCGCAAUACUCAUUAGUUUAAGAAGUGGGCACGCACACACACGUCUGAAUUUGUGUAGUGUAUCUAGUAAAUAAGAAACCUAA
rnacentral:lncRNA from 1 species